UACAGAGGGUGCGAGCGUUAAUCGGAAUUACUGGGCGUAAAGCGUGCGUAGACGGUUAUUUAAGUCGGAUGUGAAAGCCCCGGGCUCAACCUGGGAAUUGCAUUCGAGACUGAAUAGCUAGGGUGCGGUAGAGGGAAGCGGAAUUUCCGGUGUAGCGGUGAAAUGCGUAGAUAUCGGAAGGAACAUCAGUGGCGAAAGCGGCUUCCUGGACCAGCACCGACGUUCAGGCACGAAAGCGUGGGGAGCAAACAGGGA
rnacentral:rRNA from 1 species